AUACGGAGGGUGCAAGCGUUGUCCGGAUUUAUUGGGUUUAAAGGGUGCGUAGGCGGACUAAUAAGUCAGAGGUGAAAGUUUGCAGCUUAACUGUAAAAUUGCCUUUGAAACUGUUAGUCUUGAGUAUAGUUGAGGUGGGCGGAAUGUGUCAUGUAGCGGUGAAAUGCUUAGAUAUGAUACAGAACACCGAUUGCGAAGGCAGCUCACUAAGCCGAUAUUGACGCUCAGGCACGAAAGCGUGGGUAGCGAACAGGAUUAGAUACCCUAGUAGUCC
rnacentral:rRNA from 1 species